GGCCGGGUGUGCGACGGAUACAAGACCCGCAAGGGGAAGAAGUCCGCCGUUUCUUGUGACGGUGUUUAGCGCCCGGCCGCCCUCCG
rnacentral:ncRNA from 1 species